AUUGAACGCUGGCGGCAGGCCUAACACAUGCAAGUCGAGCGAGCGGCGGACGGGUGAGUAAUGUCUGGGAAACUGCCUGAUGGAGGGGGAUAACUACUGGAAACGGUAGCUAAUACCGCAUACCAUCAGAUGUGCCCAGAUGGGAUUAGCUAGUAGGUGGGGUAACGGCUCACAUAGGCGACGAUCCCUAGCGGGUCUGCGAGGAUGACCAGCAACACUGGAACGGGAACACGGUCCAGACUCCUACGGGAGGCAGCAGUGGGGAAUAUUUCACAAUGGGCGCAAGCCUGAGGCAGCCAUGCCGCGGGUGUGAAGAGGGCCUUCGGGUUGUAAAGCACUUUCAGCGGGGAGGCGUUACCCGCAGAAGAAGCACCGGCUAACUCCGUGCCAGCAGCCGCGGUAAUAC
rnacentral:rRNA from 1 species